CAAAAUCUGAAGCCUCGCUUCAACCACACCGUGUGCACCGUUUAAUGUCUCUGGUGGGACCAGGGAUCGGGGGCGUUUGUCCCCUUUCCCUACCUGCCAAAGGGUUCCCCUCCUUGCGAGGGGGAUCCGCUGAUGAACAACCAUUGUCUAUUGCAUCUGUCUGAUCAUUCUUCACCUUUGCGUGGAAAAUGAAAA
rnacentral:misc_RNA from 1 species